AGUGAACGCUGGCGGUAGGCCUAACACAUGCAAGUCGAACGGCAGCACAGUAAGAGCUUGCUCUUCCGGGUGGCGAGUGGCGGACGGGUGAGGAAUACAUCGGAAUCUACUUUUUCGUGGGGGAUCACGUAGGUAAACUUACGCUAAUACCGCAUACGACCUACGGUUGAAAGCAUGGGAUCUUCGGACCUUGCGCGAUUGAAUGAGCCGAUGUCGGAUUAGCUAGUUGGCGGGGUAAAGGCCCACCAAGGCGACGAUCCGUAGCUGGUCUGAGAGGAUGAUCAGCCACACUGGAACUGAGACACGGUCCAGACUCCUACGGGAGGCAGCAGUGGGGAAUAUUGGACAAUGGGCGCAAGCCUGAUCCAGCCAUACCGCGUGGGUGAAGAAGGCCUUCGGGUUGUAAAGCCCUUUUGUUGGGAAAGAAAAGCAGCAGGUUAAUACCCCGCUGUUCUGACGGUACCCAAAGAAUAAGCACCGGCUAACUUCGUG
rnacentral:rRNA from 1 species